GUGAGGAAUAUUGGUCAAUGGGCGGGAGCCUGAACCAGCCAAGUCGCGUGAAGGAAGAAGGAUCUAUGGUUCGUAAACUUCUUUUGCAGGGGAAUAAAGUGCAGGACGUGUCCUGUUUUGUAUGUACCCUGAGAAUAAGGAUCGGCUAACUCCGUGCCAGCAGCCGCGGUAAUACGGAGGAUCCGAGCGUUAUCCGGAUUUAUUGGGUUUAAAGGGUGCGUAGGUGGUUUGUUAAGUCAGCGGUGAAAGUUUGCAGCUUAACUGUAAAAAUGCCGUUGAAACUGUCGGACUUGAGUGUAAAUGAGGUAGGCGGAAUGCGUGGUGUAGCGGUGAAAUGCAUAGAUAUCACGCAGAACUCCGAUUGCGAAGGCAGCUUACUAAGCUACAACUGACACUGAAGCACGAAAGCGUGGGGAUCAAACAGGAUUAGAAACCCCUGUAGUCC
rnacentral:rRNA from 1 species